rnacentral:rRNA from 1 species
UGGGGAAUAUUGCACAAUGGGCGAAAGCCUGAUGCAGCCAUGCCGCGUGUGUGAAGAAGGCCUUCGGGUUGUAAAGCACUUUCAGCGGGGAGGAAGGCGUUAAGGUUAAUAAACUUGGCGAUUGACGUUACCCGCAGAAGAAGCACCGGCUAACUCCGUGUCAGCAGCCGCGGUAAUACGGAGGGUGCAAGCGUUAAUCGGAAGUACUGUGCGUAAAGCGCACGCAGGCGGUCGGUCAAGUCGGAUGUGAAAUCCCCGAGCUCCACCCGGGAACUGCAUUCGAAACUGGCUGGCUAGAGUCUUGUAGAGGGGGGUAGAAUUCCAGGUGUAGCGAUGAAAUGCGUAGAGAUCUGGAGGAAUCCCGGUGGCGAAGGCGGCCCCCUGGACAAGGACUGACGCUCAUGUGCGAAAGCGUGGGGAGCAAACAGG